CAUUCCCUUCUGCAAGCGGUUGCCAUGGGACACAGCUUGAGCUUCACUGGGAUGCAAGGCUGGGAGGAGAGUGUUUACUUGUUCUGAGACACAAAGACUGAGGACAAAACAGCAAAGGAGGAUGAGGAAGAACAGCCAGUAGGUGGGAAAGAGAAGAGAGGGAGGCGUCCUGGAAGCCCAGAGCAGAAGGUAGGAGUGACCCACUGUGUCCAACAAGGCUGAAAGGGGGCUGCUGAGAUGCGGACUUGAAGUCAGGAUUCCCAACUAUGUCUGGAGAUGCCAAUGAGGACCCCAGAGCAGUGAAAAGGGAAGGUGGAAGCCUCUUCCUAGAAAUGUUUAUCCAGAGGGAAAACUGGUUCUCCUGCUGACCUAAAGCUAUGAUUAGCAGUUAUCUUCUUAGUUGUAUUUUAAAGAGAAAAUGGAUUAUACCACAUUCAUGUAUUUUGGUGACCCACGACGUUACAAAGGAUGAGGCCAGAAAGUCCAUUGAGUUUAAAGUUCUUCCAGAGGACAAGAAGCCGACUACUGCGCAGUCUCCGACUUGUUUAUUCCAGAGUCCUUAAGAAGUCGAUUAUUUUGUUUCUGUAAUCCAUUUCCUCAUGAAAACAAUGUCAUAGCCGGGUCAUGGAUGGCUCAGUGACCCAGACCGGCCCAGAAAAGCCUGCAGAAGCCCCCAGAUAUCUGAAUCAGUAGACUAGCAUUCCUCCUGUGGAGCCUGGGAGCAAGAUGCUGAGAUGAUAGGAGAGAGCAGAGGAUUCCAUCCUUGUCUUAGAAACCCUGAAAUAGACUUGUCUAGGAUUCUUACAAAAAUAAACUG